GAUGAACGCUGGCGGCGUGCCUAAUACAUGCAAGUCGAGCGAACAGACGAGGAGCUUGCUCCUCUGACGUUAGCGGCGGACGGGUGAGUAACACGUGGAUCACCUACCUAUAAGACUGGGAUAACUUCGGGAAACCGGCGCUAAUACCGGAUAAUAUAUUGAACCGCAUGGUUCAAUAGUGAAAGACGGUUUUGCUGUCACUUAUAGCUGGAUACGCGCCGCAUUAGCUAGUUGGUAAGGUAACGGCUUACCAAGGCAACGAUGCGUAGCCGACCUGAGAGGGGGAUCGGCCACACGGGAACUGAGACACGGUCCAGACUCCUACGGGAGGCAGCAGUAGGGAAUCUUCCGCAAUGGGCGGAAGCUUGACGGAGCAACGCCGCGUGAGUGAUGAAGGUCUUGGGAGCGUAAAACUCUGUUAUGGGGGAAGAACAAAUGUGUAAGUAACUAUGCACGUCUUGACGGUACCUAAUCAGAAAGCAACGGCUAACUACGUG
rnacentral:rRNA from 1 species